CCAACAUAACUAUUUGCCUUGACAAUCAGAGUGCAGAGGCUGUACAGAGACCAGCAGAGCAGAGGCGUUUCUACAAUGCAAGCAGGCUGAGGCAAAAACUGGGCUUCCUCAGUUUAACAACUGGGCAUGACGAGUAUAUGGAGGACCAUGAACAGAACCAAGAAGUGCCUGACAGGGAUGGGGUUUCACAUGAAGAAAGACAUGCACAACAUUCAUCAAACAUACCUCAGGGAUCUAUUUUGUAGCUGUGUUGUUCUGAGACAAAGACAAAUACAAAACUCUAAAACUCUUGUUGGUUCAGAGGUGAUACCUUUUA